AUCGCUUCUUGGCCUUUUGGCUAAGAUCAAGUGUAGUAUCUGUUCUUAUCAGUUUAAAAUGAGAUUUAUAGUAAUGUUAUAGGCUUGUUUUACGAUUGAGUAAUAGCACUGUGCUAUGAUAAGCAAUCAGUAUAUUUAACUAUUAUCAUUGCUACUAUUGUGGUGUUUCAUUGAACUCCUGAAGUGUCUGUGAUGAGAAUA
rnacentral:snRNA from 1 species